CACGACCUUGCCAAGGUCGGGGUCGCGAGUUCGAGUCUCGUUUCCCGCUCCA
rnacentral:tRNA from 2 species